rnacentral:lncRNA from 10 species
AGGUCCCCUUUCUGCAACAGAGAGCUUUCUUCAUUCACUUAUUAAACUUUCACUCCGACCUCACCCUUUGGGUCCAUACUCCUUAAUUCUCUUGGUCUUGGGUGAUACCUCACAAGGAGAGACUGCUACAUUGUGGUGCAUUGGUGAGACUGUAACAGACUCCUUUCCAAGUGUUUGGUGUCUGAGUUUUCAGAAGGUUUGACAUGCAUUUCUUCAUUUAAUGCUUAGAACAGACCACCACCAAUAAUAACAACUCCACAUCUUAUUUUUCAGAUGGGGAAACUAUGAUUCAGAAUGAUAACAAUUAAUACAAAGCUGAAGCAAGAUUCAAAUCCAAGUCUUCUGACUUGAAAUCCUACUUUCUUGCCACUUUUUAAACUAUUUAUCUGAUGUUGGCAAUUCAUGGCAAUCAGAGGAUGGAUGAAGGGCUCUGGAGGUUUUGGUUACAGUCAGGGAGCAUUAGAAAGAACAAGUGUGCUUAGAUGAGGCGGGAAAGCCCAGGUACAUGAAGGAAAAGAAUAAUUUGCCUAAGUUGCCUAGUUUAAAAUCAUUUUUAAUUGGAAAGGUAUUUUUAUCUUCAUUUACAGAUGUGGAAACUAAGAUUCAGAAUGAUUAUUCAAAAAUCACAUAGCUAGUGGCAACCUCAAGGAUUGAAACCAGGUGUGUCUAUCUCUAAAUAUAGUGAUAAAAAGCAUGCAUUUUGGGUUGAACUCUGCUCUCCACAUAGAUCUUGGUCCAGCCCGCCCCCUAACCCUGGUGUCCUCAUGUGAAAUGAGGCUAAUAAUUGCCAGGCCUCUGAGCCCAAGCCAAGCCAUCACAUCCCCUGUGACUUGCACAUAUACGCCCAGAUGGCCUGAAGUAACUGAAGAAUCACAAAAGAAGUGAAUAUGCCCUGCCCCACCUUAACUGAUGACAUUCCACCACAAAAGAAGUGUAAAUGGCCAGUCCUUGCCUUAAGUGAUGACAUUACCUUGUGAAAGUCCUUUUCCUGGCUCAUCCUGGCUCAAAAAGCACCCCCACUGAGCACCUUGCGACCCCCACUCCUGCCUGCCAGAGAACAACCCCCCUUUGACUGUAAUUUUCCCUUACCUACCCAAAUCCUAUAAAUUGCCCCACCCCUAUCUCCCUUUGCUGACUCUCUUUUCAGACUCAGCCCACCUGCACCCAGGUGAUUAAAAGCUUUAUUGCUCACACAAAGCCUGUUUGGUGGUCUCUUCACACGGACACACAUGAAAUUUGGUGCCGUGACUCGGAUCGGGGGUCCUCCCUUGGGAGAUCAAUCCCCUGUCCUCCUGUUCUUUGCUCCGUGAGAAAGAUCCACCUACGACCUCAGGUCCUCAGACCGACCAGCCCAACGAACAUCUCACCAAUUUUAAAUCAGGACCUACCAGUCUGCCCUGCUCAUACUUGAUCUGGAUGAGACUGAUACCCUGCGAGACGCAACAGAAUCAGCUCCUGGGAUUGUGUUAGCAGAAUGACGGGAGUGUGAGAUCCACCACAUGGCGAGGCACCCCAGGAACCUGUUUUCUUCUUGAAGAGCAACCGAGAACUAUUUCCAAGUUAUCCUUCACUUUGAGGCAAUGGUCAGGUGGAGUAAAACAUAAGGAAGAACAUCUUUUUGGUUCAAAGCAUGAAAAAAAUUGGGACAGCAUGGAGGUGUCUGAUUUCUGCUUGGGCUGAGGAUUCAGGAGAAGAUGUGUGGAACACAGCCUGGACAUGCCCCAACCUGGUUGAUGAAUUCCACCCCAAGUAGUGGAAGAAACACACCUACAACAUGAGCAGAGAAGAUUUUUCUUCUGUACUUUCCAGGACUUGAAGCUGCUUUGUUUUUUGGUCGCUGGGUGGGGAAGGAGGAACAAUAGUAUAGCUUCCAGAAGAGAGAAGAGAGAUAUCUCUUGAGUGUGAAUUAAGCAGUACCAAGAGGCCUCAAGCUAGCUCUCUCUCCUGCUUUAAAUUCUACUGUUAAGAGUUUUUCUUUAAGUUUAAAACCUUGAAAGCUCCAUGAUGCUCCUGAGUAGAACAAUAAAGCCAUUAGUAGUCAAUGGCCGUCUUUAAUAUUUUUCUUCCAUUUCAAUUUUAGUUCUAAUUUUAUCUGACUCCUAAAAAUAUGUUUCAUAUUCUCAUGAGGGCUGGGCCCAUAUGUGUAAAUGGUUGAAACAUCUUACUUUGUUGACUGAACUAGUCUAAAUAGUCAGUCAAAUUUUUUUUUUAGGCAAAAGUGAAUUUCAUCAAAUUGGUUGGCCCACAAUUUCUUAAAUUCAUCAUUGAUUGAUUAUCUGUGAUGUGCCAAUCCCUGUGCAAGUUCCUAGGGCAACAGAAGUAAAAAUCCAUAAUCUCUGUUUCCAGGACUCUAUCAGUUUGAUAGGGACACAGGCACAUAAGCAGACAAUCAUAAUGCAGUGGUAGUAGGGAUAUGCCACUCUCAUCCAGGCAGUGUAUUGAUGACCAUGUCCUUGAGUUCCCAAGUACAUUGAAAAAGGUGUAAUAAGGAGAUGCUAAAUUAGCAGGUAGUACUUAUAUGAAGUUCUACUGUGUCUACUCCUGUGCCAGGUGUUUCGGUUGGGAAUGAGUAUUGGGUAAGAGGAGAAUAGAAGAUGGAAAGGCAGAAAACACCAACUCAGCUGAUAUGGUUGGGAUGUUUGUCUCCUCUAAACCUCACAUUGAAAUGUAAUCCCCAGUGUUAGAGGUGGGGCCUAGUGAAAGGUAUUGGAUGAGGGGAGUGGAUCCUUCAUGAAUGGCUUAGUGUCAUCCCCUUGGUGAUGAGUGAGUUCUCGUUCUGUUAGUUUACACAAGAUCUGGUUACUUAAAAGGGUGUGGAACCUCCCCCUCCUCUCUCUUACUCCCUCUCACCAUGUGACAUGUUGGCUCCCCUUCCCCCUCAUCAUGACUGUAAGCUUCCUGAAGCCCUUUCCAGAAGCAGAAACCGGCACCAUGCUUCAUGUACAGUCUGCAGAACCGUGAGCCAAUUAAACCUCUUUCCUUCAUAAAGCACACAGCUUCAGAUAUCUCUUUGUAACAAAGCAAAAACUGACUAACACAUCACCCAUUAAAGAGUUUACAAUUUAUUUAGAGGAAAUAAGAUGGAAGUGUAGGGAGUUAUUAGAAAGCAAGACAACCUACAAAUCUGUAAAGUAUAAGCAUCAAACUUUGUGAACAAAGAGUAUGAUGUAGGUAUUGAGAAAAGAAAAAGUGGGAUAUAGGGUGGAACAGUCUCAGAAAAGUCCUCCCAAAGGACACAGGUAAGAGAAAGACAUGGAAGAACUGGUCCAACUUACAUUGGUAGAAUCAGAGGGCUUAGGUCUUUUUUUUUUUUUUUUCUUUUUUUUUUUGAGACAGUUUCACUCUUGCUGCCCAGGCUGGAGUGCAAUGGCACAAUCUUGGCUCACUGCAACCUCUGCCUCCCGGGUUCAAGUGAUUCUCCUGCCUCGCCUCCCAAGUAGCUGGGAUUACAGGCGCCCGCAACUACGCCUGGCUAAUUUUCGUAUUUUUAGUAGAGAUGGGGUUUCACCACGUUGGCCAGGGUGCUCUUGAACUCCUGACAUCAGGUGAUCUGCCCUCCUUGGCCUCCCAAAGUGCUGGGACUACAGGCAUGAGCCACUGUGCCUGGCUGGGCCUAGGUCUUCUAAGCAGUGGAAAUGGCAGAGGCAAGUGUCCAGAGCUGGGAAUAAGGGGAUGUUAUGUGGGUAUCAUAGGGAUGGGGGCAGGGGACUUCACAAUAAGACACCAGCCAGUCUAAAGUUGAGUUUGUGUAGGAUUUUUUACUCAUAUAUUAUUGAGGGCCAUGCAUUGAACUACAUAUUAUGGAUAAAUAAUUAAUACAUUCCUGCCAUCUUGAAGUUUAUAAUCUAGUCCUACAAAGAAACUUAUCAGAGAGGUUUCUCUGAGGCUUAGUGUGUUGCGGUCUAUGCCUUUUCAUUUCAUCCUUCAAAUACUGUCUACUCAAUGAAAUUUACCUGGCCUGUUCAGCCAAAAUAAUUUAUAAAGGCAAUAAUAGCUAACAUUAUUAACACUCUCCUAGACCAGUGUACUGUACUAACUACUUUGCAUGCCUUAUUCAUAAUAAGUUAAGGUCUCUUAUAUUUUUCAGUGUACUAUGCACCAUGUUAUGGUCUUUACAAAGAUUACAUAGUGUAAUCUUUACACUAAACUUUGCAAGGGUGUACUACUAUUAUCCCCAUUGUCUCUAUGAGAAAGCUGAGGCUCUGCAAGGUUAAAUGAUUUCCCCAAGGUUCUCUUAAACUUCGUAGGGGAAGAUGGAGGAUGCUUAGAGAGUGGUAUGAACAACAUUGUGUGCCUCCUGAUGUGAUACAAUGUGCAGCACAUAGCACCGCUUUUGAAGUACUGCAUGCUUGCCAAAAGAAAAAUUGAACAUAAACUUUCAAGUUUAUUGAAAAUGGAGGGUCCAGGAGUAGUGACUCAUGUCUAUAAUCCCAGAACUUUGGGAGGCCAAGCCAGGCUGAUCACUUGGGCCAGGAGUUCAAGAGCAGCCUAGCCAACAUGGUGAAACCCUGUCUCUACUAAAAAUAUAAAAAUUAGCUGGGCAUGGUGGCUCAUGCCUGUAAUCCCAGCUACUUGGGAGGCUGAGACAUGAGAAUCACUUGAGCCUGGGAGGUGGAGGCUGCAGUGAGCUGAGAUCACGCCAUUGCACUCCAGCCUGGGCAACAGAGCAAGACUCUAUCUCAGAAAAGAAAAAAAAAUGAGAAAAGAAAAUGGAGGGAUAAAGGAUUAAGAUAAAUGAUGCCACAAAGAAGUAAACAGAAAAAUUUAGAAUUUUGGAGUGCAGGGACUGCAGGACAACUGACCAAAUUUCUUCAACAUGUCAAAUAUAUGUGUGUUUGUGUGUGUUUAUUCUAUAAAUAUAAUAAAAAUAUUUUUAUAUAAAAGUAUAUUAUAUAUAAAAGAAAAUUUGGAUUGGAUUAAUGUAAUGUUUACAGUUAUGGUAAUGGCUAUGUUAAUGUAAUGUAAUGUUAGGCCUUGUUUAGUUCCUGAUUUGAACGAACUAAUUUUUAAAAAGGCAUUUUUUUAAUAAGUAGGAAAAUUUGAAUAUGGACUGGUUAUUGGAGGGUACAGGGAAAUAUUCUCAAUUUUCUUGGGUGUGAUCAUGGCACUGUAGUUAUGGGAGAAAAUGCUAAUAUUUUUUAGAGAUAUGCACAAAUGUGUUGGGAAGUCACAUCAAAUGUGGGAUUUGCUUAAAAAUAUUUAGCAACAAUAACUACAACAGAAAAGAAUAAGUGAUGCAAACAUGAUGAAUGCUUGCUAAUUGUUAAAGCUGGGUGAUGACUACAUAAAGGAUCAUUGUAUUAGUCUCUCAAUCUUCCUGUGUUUGAAAUUGUUUUAAAUAAAGAUUCAUUUAAAAUGCAUGGCUUAAAAUAGCCAAUGAGGCUGAAAACAGAUUCUCUUGUACCACUGAGCCCAGUUCUAUGCACACAGUAGGUGCUUAAUAGGUGUAUUAUGAAUUACUAGAAUUGGAGCAUGGAAAACAGCUACAGGAUGAAUGAAAAUCACCCUGUUCU